rnacentral:rRNA from 1 species
UCCUACGGGGGGCAGCAGUCGAGAAUUUUUCACAAUGGGCGAAAGCCUGAUGGAGCGACGCCGCGUGGGGGAUGAAUGGCUUCGGCCCGUAAACCCCUGUCAUUUGGGAUCAAUCCCGUCAGCCUAACACGUUGACGGUUGAUAGUACCGAAAGAGGAAGGGACGGCUAACUCUGUGCCAGCAGCCGCGGUAAUACAGAGGUCCCGAGCGUUGUUCGGAUUCACUGGGCGUAAAGGGUGCGUAGGCGGCCGGGUAAGUCUGAUGUGAAAUCUCGGAGCUCAACUCCGAAACGGCAUUGGAUACUCUCCGGCUAGAGGAUUGGAGGGGGGACUGGAAUUCUCGGUGUAGCAGUGAAAUGCGUAGAUAUCGAGAGGAACACCCGUGGCGAAGGCGAGUCCCUGGACAAUCUCUGACGCUGAGGCACGAAAGCUAGGGGAGCAAACAGGAUUAGAUACCCCUGUAGUCU